GGAGAAAUACCCAAGUCCGGCUGAAGGGAUCGGUCUUGAAAACCGACAGGAGCUUAACGGCUCGCGGGGGUUCGAAUCCCUCUUUCUCCGCUA
rnacentral:tRNA from 1 species